rnacentral:lncRNA from 1 species
AGGUUCGCUCCCUUUUUCCCUAUCUCGUAAAGAUCUAUUUUUUGCGAUGAAGUUCUUCUUGAAUCGGAUCGGUGUCUAUUUGGCUUUGAUCUGUGUCUUCCUGUUUGAGAUCUUUGGAGCUAGAUUUCUUAAUUCCGUUAUUGUUCCACGAUUGCUGGGUUCUGGCCUUCUAGGCUAGGGUUUUGGUCUCAGGUUCUUUAUUCGUGAAGGAAAGUUGCGAUCUUGGAAUGAUAUGGGCGGAAUCGAGGGAUCGAUCGGUAUUAGAUGGUGUUCGAUGUGUGAUCUGGUUGCGUCGUGACGGACAGUGUGCGGGUACGGGUCGGCUGCAUUGCAUGUUUGAUUUCAUGGGAUUUUGAAUGGGAAUUCCGUUGGAGACACGAGGUUCAUGGGGGUUAAUCGUGUUCCCUUGGGUCUUGAAUCUUGUGGCGAGUCCUUUCUUUUCGUCGCUAUAGUUGAUUCUAGUAAUAGUAGUGCCGUGGGUUGCAGACGUGCAUGAGGAAGGAAGAGAAAGAUGGAAACUAAAUAUGUGUCUUGCUAUCAAAAUAUCAUGGGUUUUAAGAAAUAGUUUUGCCUUGAUGUAUGUAGAGAAAGGUGUGAGUCUCGCUAUGUGGGUUGUUGUUUGUAGUCAAAUAUGGUUUUUAGGGUUAAGAAAUGUCCAUGAGUAGAAUAUGUGCAUUCUUAUAAUGGAACAUGGUUUUUAAGGCAAACGAUGUCCACUCUUUCUGUUCCUAUUGCUAAUUUAAUUGUAGUUACCAUAUUAUUUUGGCUGACAAGUGUGAUAUCUGGUUGCUAUUUUUGAUGUUUUUGUUAUUAAAUAGUGCAUUCAUCAUGGCUACAUUGUUUUAGCUCCCAUUUAUGGUCUUUAGUAGCCAUUUUAUUUGAGUCAUCGAAGGCUUAGAAGGCAUCACUGGAUGUUCUAUCAGAGAGAAUUUUUUAAUGGCAUUCUGUUGCAGAAAGGGGCUUCUUUUAAGGAAUGCUAACAUCUCGAAAAUCCAAUGUGGCAACCAUGGAGAUAUGGGAAAGGACCAGUUUAUCGACUGGGACAAAAUUUUUUGAUGUUGUUCCAGCAAAUAUCAUAUGUAUGUAAAGGUAUGAUAAGGCUAUACGACAAUAACACAACUUCUCUUGCUUUGGGUUAUGUGGUUGCUCCAUAUGGAGCAAAACACAGGAAAGGUCACAAAGUCCUUGUAAAGGACAAAGCGGGCUGGUUAACUUUUACCAAUCACGACGUAUUAAUAACAUUGGCAACAUGUGUAUUAACAUUUGGCCACUAGAAUAGUGAGACAUGGCAAGUUUAGAAUUAAAGAGCAUGCUUGUCUUGUUGGAAGAUUUUUGAUUCUAGACUUGGCAUUUCGUUGCUAUUUUAGAUGUUAUAGUUAAUGCAAUAUUGUUGGGGAUUGGGCGAGUCGCAUUCGGGGAACUAAUGGUCUCCAAAGAGCAAAUCGUUUCAGAGCUAGCACGAGUUUAUCUUGUUCGGUGAAGAAAUGAACCAAACUAAGGCUAGGCUUAGCUUGGUCGAGAUUGGCUCAAAUUAGCUCAAAAUACAUACAUACAUUGGCAACAUGUGUAUUAAUAUUUGGCCGCUAGAGUAGUGAGAUAUGGCAAGUUUAGAAUUAAAGAGCAUGCUUGUCUUGUUGAAAGAUUUUGAGUCUAGACCUGGCAUUUGGUUGCCAUUUUAGAUGUUAUCAUUAAUGCAAUAUUGUUUGGAAUUGGUGAGUGGCACUAGGGAGACUAGUGGCCUCAAACGAGCAAAUUGUUUCAGAGCUAGCAUGAGUUUAUCGUGCUCAGUCAAGAAAUGAGCCAAACUAGAGCUAGGCUUAGUUUGCUCUGUUAUUUUAAUUAUCUUGUAUAAAUAUUUUUAUAAUUAUUUAUUAUAAACUAGUAUAGAUUAUAUAAAACAGAAAUAUAGAAUCUAUUCCAACUAUAUAUCAAAAUAUAAUUGGAGUACUUUUUUAAACCAUAGAAUUUUAAGGCUCAAAUGAUUUUAAACUCUCACUAGAUCUCUUAAACAAGCCAUUCAUGAACAACUCGAUAUUGGCCUGAAAUUAAAUGAGCAAGCUUGAGCUUGGCUCAAUUAUUAAACAAACGAAGCUAGAGCAAGGCUUGGCUUGGCUCAUUUUCAGCUUGUUUCCACCCCUAAGUGGAAGUUUACAAAUACCUGUUGGAAAGAUGGAAUAACUGAACUUUAAAAAGUUGAUUUAUUACUUGGAGUGGUAGCCAGUUGGCAUGGCUAUCCCCGAGCAUCCACUAAAUUAGUGAGAUAUGACAACCUUAGUUAGCAAGCGUCUGUUCGCUCAAAAGUUUUCAAGUGUGGAGUUGGUAGUUUUGCGAGGUUUCAUGUCAUCAUUUAUACCACUGUCAGAUCACAUGCAUGACGUCACUCUUUGCUAUUACAAACUUUGGAAGAUUGGUAUCCUUGAUCAUGUUGCUCCAUAUUCAAAAACCACAGCAAGGAAGAUGCAUCGUCAACUUAUUACAUAACCUAAUCUUAUGAUUUACAUCUGUCAUUUCAUUCAUUGGAGCAACAUCAAAUAUUUGUUGUAGCUGACAGGCUAAUGCUAUCCAUGCGUCCCUUUUUGCACUGUUGGAAUUUAAGUACCUUUCUUUUCCUUAAAGUUGCUAGAUAGAUGCAUAUAAUUGAACUAUAUGCUAAGGUUUUAAUGGAGUUAAAUAGCUGGGUUUCCACUAGACUUGUGAGACAUGGCAUGCUUGGGGAUGAAGUAUAUGUUAGUCCCCUUGCUUUUGACUAGCCAAUGAUCUGAGAUAAACUUGGUUGCGUAUCCAGUUGUUUAGCCAUAUCCUAUAUGAAUAUCCCAUGUUCUUGGUUUAAAGAAUCUAUAUAUCCUUAGACUAGCUGUGGCCCUAUUUGAUACAUUGGAGUACUGACAUGUCUGUGUUCAGCACUAUACAUGCCGUAUGCUUUGUGUACAUACCCAUUUAGAUCUCUAGUUAAAAUUUCUUCGGUAUAUGUUGAGAAAAUCAUUCAGGCACUUGGCAGACAUGUCUUGCUGUUAAUUAUAAAUUUAUGUGACCUUAUUUCUAAUUGCAUCCUGAAUCUUUAACAUGAAUAACAAUAUUUUGAACCUUGUAAUUCCAUUUUCUUUCUUGAUAAAUAUGGAAGAGAUGUUCCGAUUGAUACCAGUUUCAAAGAAUUUUAAUAAACUAAACAAAAAUUAAUACUUAUCAUAUGUAAUAUAAUUGAGUAUUCAGUUGUGAUAUUCAGCUUCAUCUGUAUCAUAUGCUUUUCUCCCCCAAGUUUUUCCUUAUGGGCCUGUUUGUUUUGUCUCAUCAUGGUAUUUCCUACUCUCAUAUUUAUAUUUCAUUUUGAUCUUCAUACGUGUCAUUUGUUUUUUUUAUAGAAGUAUAUUUGUGUUCAUCGUCUACUCAUGGCAGCAGGAUUCAUGAACGAUGUCAAUAUUUAUUGUCCUGAUUUAUCUAUGGAAACAAAUCAUGCCUGAUCAAAUACGUGCAAUAUAAUUCUUGAAUUGUUUCCUUAGGUGUCAUUUUCUAUAUGGAAAAAGUGUAACAGUAUCAGAGCGACAAGUCUUAAUUUAUGCAGAGCUAUUUAUCAUCACCCUUUUGCAUCCUAUUUGUUUGUGGUUUAUUACAUUUAACUUGCAAUAGCGUUUCAUGGUUUUAACUGGCAAUGUUUUGGAAUGCCGUCCUCAAAUGGUUUGGUAGCAAAAUUUGGGAAUACAGUCUUCAUCUCUUAGGAAAGUGUUUGGAACUUUCUGCAUUGUUUCUGUCUUAUCUUUCCCUCCCUUUCUCACUUUUUUGGACAUGUCUAUAUGGCUAUGAUGUCAUUAGGAUUAGAUAUUGUCUGAAAUUAACGUAAUUGAAAGGGUCUGUUUUUGGCAAUUAAAAUGGUGAUGGCAAUAGAAUUUUGAAAGUGGUUGAUUUUCCUUCUGUUUUUGGUGAGGGUCAAAUCCUUUGUUGGGGAAAAUCCUCAUGCUUUUUUCCUUCUUCUAGUUGGUGUCCUUGAAAUACUGGGCAUGCAUGCAACCUAAUUUUAGUGGGGUAGCAAUUUUCUUUCCUAAUAGGAACACUUCAACUGUCCCUAAAAUAUCUGCAAUUUAAUAUAUCAACUUUGUUGAACUGGACCGAGCCUUAAACAUGGCUAAGAUGGGCCUCUAUUGUUGCUUUAUCUGAAUCAGUGUGUUUUCACCUUUCAGUUUGCAAGAUUAGCACUAGAAGUCUUGUUAUUAUAUGUUACUUUGGUGGAAAAACUAAAGAAUAAUUCAAGAUAAAACUGGAGUACAUUUUGAAUUUUUCCUUCGACAGAGGAGCAGAUACAGGCAAGACACUUAUAACAUAUUCCUUCUUACCAGUUUGCUUUUAUUACUGUCUCUUCUGGAUCUCUACCUCUCUGAACAUUUGCGAUGUUUACUUGAUGUAAAUUCUAAUAAUGCAUAGUUCAUGGAACAGUCUAACUUCAUUAUAUUGCCAAAUUAUGAUGCUUACCAUCUGAUAGAACAUCAAAGUUUAGGUGCUGUUGUCUGAUGUUUCAUCACUAGUUGGUUGUGUAUUUCACCAUUUCAUCAUUUUAUCUCUUUGUUAUUGUUGUUUUUUUUGUCUAUUCUGCACUUCUUCCUUAUACAGUUAAAUCAGGACAUAGUAAGCAGCACAAUGUAUCAAUUAUUUUUAGAAGGGUUCAAUUUUAUAUAAUUAAAUAUAUUUUUUUAUUUUAUUUGUUUUUAUAAAGUUUCAAUUUUAUGCAGUUAAAAAUGUUUUUUUUUUCAGUUUUCAUUUUUUUUGUCUGAGUUUAUUUCUUCUGAAUUAAUAGAUGCUGAAUGCUGUGCUUAUUUUUCCAGAGUCACCUUGCUCACUGUCUUCUCUGCAAUGAGCAUUACCUGGCUGUACCCUUUUGAGAAGUUGUAAAUUACUGCAAAUAAGCAGGAUUCGUGGAAACAAGUCUGUUGAAAAGAAUUACUCAGUGGUUGCUGUUCACUUUGGUGAAGAAAAAUGGAAGCGAGGAACGAAAAGGUGUUGGAUAAAGGUGGAAGAAUUUUAGGCGAUCUAAAGAGGAAGCGAGAUUCUGCUGCAUAUUUAACUGAUUCUGGCCAUGCUUUGGUAUCGCACCCGCCUAUUACAGAUCAAUCCUGCGGCAGGUGCUGUAAUGUGAGAGAGUGUAAAUCUGUCUUCAGCUGUCGUUCGGCGACACAGGUUUGUCAAAAGUAUCACAACUUUAUGAGGAGUGGGUUGCCACAGCGUGUGCUGUCUCACCAGGAUGGUGAAUGGAAAGAUUUUCCUGAGAAUAUCAUCAGUUCAGUUUGUGAAGAUUUCCGGUUAAAGAGGGCAAUUACUGAAACAGCGUUUCAGGACCAGCAAAUAUUGUUGGACUUUGUGCACAUGGUUUGUGUAGACUUGAAAACAGGCCUUCAGAAGCCUGUUGCUUGGAUUGAUGAACAUGGUAAAUGCUUUUUUCCAGAAUUGCAUUCUGAAUUUUAUGCAUCAAAUGGAUGCCAUCAUUCUAGCAAAGGGAAACAUGUCCAUAUGAGUUGUGAGCCAAAUGGGAGACAUGAACCACAUGCGCGUAGUGAGAUUUCUGUGAGUGCAGCUGAAAGCUCAAACUCAGGACCUGAUGAUGAGGUAAUGUCUAACGUGAAGAGGGUUAAGAGUGAAAGGAAUUUUGCCAGUAACCAGAAUAUGUAUGCCGAGGUCAAUGAAACAGUUGCAGAAAAUGAGCUGUAUUCUUUUGUCCCUCGAAAUGUCUCUGGUCUUGAAACUUCUCAGGGAAAGUUGGUCAAACCUGUUGGUGCUCCUCGUGUCAAAAAUGCUGUACAACAUAUGUUACUCCAGGGAUUGGGCCCCUUCAUUGAUGCACAGGACAUUGUUGGUAUCUUUAGAGCCCCUUUCAAAGAUAAUUCAGGGCAGAUUCCCUAUAAUCUUUUCCUAAAGCAGGUUGAGAUAACUAAGAACUUCCGUGGCAAUGCAAAUCUCCGUUAUGCUUGGCUUGCUUCUUCCAGGGAUGCCGUAGAAGACAUGAUGUUGCAGGGUGUUAUGAGGAUAAAGAAGCCUGUGCAUGGACCUGUGUAUGGCAUUGGCACUCAUCUUGCACCUGUGAAUUGCUCCAAUAUCUGGUGAGGUUUUAUUUUAUCUUCUAUUUUGGCUUUCUUUGUAGGCUAUUUGAAUAUCUUUCAAUUUUUGGUAUGGCUAGAACUGUCAACAUCCAUAAUUUUAACCUCCUAGUUUCCACUAUAUUAUUAGUGAUGUUACUUGAUUGUUUGUGCUGAUAUACUUUUUCAAGAAAUAUGCCUCACUUACAGAUUACUAUCCACAGUGCUAGUUAUUCUGAUGUGGACGAAAAUGGUGUUGUUCAUAUGAUGUUAUGCCGUGUAAUAAUGGGAAAUGUGGAAGUCAUUCACCCUGGAUCAAAACAGUCUCAGCCCAGUAAUGAAAAUUUUGAUAGCGGCGUGGACGAUCUUCAAAAGCCAAAACAUUAUGUUAUAUGGGAUAUGCAUGUGAGUACUCACAUCUAUCCAGAAUAUAUCGUGACUUUUAAAAUGUCUUCCAGAGCCAGAGGUGAUUUCCUUGGAAUUCUCUGUCAAUUAGUGGAUUCAUUCAUGUUUGUUUACUUACAAUUAAAAUUCUGAAAAGCUGUUCCUUUUGAUAUUGUUGCAGAACAUUUGGUUGGUAAAGAAAGUGUAUCUAACACAUCUGCAGUCACAAAUCCUAGUUCGUCUCAUAGCCUAUUUCAGGUGCGUCCAUAUAUUGUUAUUUACAUUAAUGUGAGUGGAUCCACAUGACAUGGAAAUGUAGCACUGUAAUUCAUUUUGAACUGGUAAAACAUUCCAUUUAUAUUAGUAUAUCUAAGUCAGUUGAUUCAUAUAAGCAAUCAGGUUACCUAUGCUUAGUGAUAGAUUUAUCAUUGAUUAUGUGGUUGCAAUGCAAAUGAAAGUUCAUCUUAUAAGGUAUUCCAUAUGUAUGCACAAAUAGCUGAAAAAUAUCAGGAAAAGGAAGUUCAACUGUUUAUUAUCCUAUUUCUUUGAGUGAUCUUCAAAUCCCCAUAAUCAUAAUUGCAAACCAUGUUGCACUCUGCAACCUGAAAUAAUUAAAAUUUGUGAUUGAUUUUAUUCUGUUUUGUGAUUUUCAGGAUAGGAAUCCUCAGCCACCUCCAGCUUUGAGAGAUCAAUCUGAAGCGCCGAUCUUUGGUAGAGCUCCAAGAACUCCCACAUCACCCUGGAUGCCUUUUUCAAUGCUAUUUGCUGCAAUUUCAACUAAAGUGUCUCCACAAGAUAUGGACUCGGUUAAUACUCACUAUGAAGAAUUCAAGGUCUUAAAUUUCUAUCAAUAAACUGCCUUUUUUUUCAUGGUGCUUUGACAUCUUCAAUAACAUAUAUUUCUUUCUUUGUACCAGAAAAGAAAGAUAAGCAGGAUUGACCUGGUUAAAAAGUUGAGGCAUAUAAUUGGUGACAAACUGUUGAUAUCAACAAUAAUGAGACUUCAGCACAAGGUGAGUUUCUCAGUUGAUGUUGUGGCCAAUGAUCAUGAGUUCUUAUCAGAUAGGAAGGUCUUUCUUGAACUUGAGAUCUCAGUGUAGCAGACUUAAAGCUUGCCUGGCAAGCUUCUCGGCAGUUAAUGCUAAAUUAAACUCUGAUGAAGUGGUGACUGGAGCUUAGUUUGUAGUGGCAGUCGUGGACUUUCCCAUGCCUUUCUUAGUUGUCUAGUUAUAAGGGUUUUUGACAUGUUAGUCCUCUUUCUCCAACCCAAUCCCAAAAUGGUCCCUUUUUUCUAAGAAUGCAUGUAGCACCUUUUUUUUUGGAUUAUUAGUAAAAAUAGUCCUUAUACCUCAAGUAAUGAUUGAUUUGGUUGAUUGUCAUCCAUUUGGCAAUGAAUGCAGUCUCUAAUUUUUUUUUUAAUUAAAAUACACACUCUUUAAAGAAAAGAAGAGAAGCAAAUGAAUCGUUCAUGUAAGUAAUUUGUGAUAUAAUAAUAGGAAAACUGAAGCAUGAUCAUUGUUUAAUAGAUGACAAUCAAUCAAAACUGAUAAUUAGUUGAAUAAGAGGGAAUAUUUUGUCCUAAUAAUCAAAAAACAGGUGCUACAUGUAUUCUGAGAAAAAAUUGGAACUGUUUUGGGAUUGGGUUGGAAAAAGAGGGCUGCCCAUGUCAGACUCCCUUAUCAUAAAUGAUUAUGGGCUAGACAAGGCUAAGAUGGGUAGCUUUAUGGAUCAAAUAUCGCCCUGUUGGGGUCAUUGUCUGGUUGGUUUGAAUUCUAAGCAUGUGAUAGUUGCCAUGGGUGGGGCCUAAUGUUGACCUAAUAGACUUAGUUGUCCUUUUAGUGCUUGGUAUCUUGUUCAAUGGACAUGUUUUGAUCUUCAGUGUGUAAAAUUUCUGUCAACUCUCUCUCUCUCUCUCUCUCUCUCUCUNNNNNNNNNNNNNNNNNNNNCUACUCUCUCUCUCUCUCUCUCUCUCUCUCUCUCUCUGAUGUUGCUUUAAUUUUUAGAACUACAUCUUUUGGAAAAUAUGAUGGUCUGUAAUAGUUACCAUUUAGUGUUUGGUACAUUGUAAAAUAGACAUGUUUUGAAUUUUGUGUUGAAACUUUAUGUUAUAUCUCUCUGUUACUGCUCUUAAUUUUUAGAACUUCAUUUUUGUCUGCUUUCCCACGUUUACUACUCAGCAUCUUAUUUGGUGGUAGGUAUCUCCUUUCUUACAACUCCCAAAUCUUUUAGUCCAUAUGCAUACGCUCUCUCUCUCACACGCGCACCCGCUUAAAGCACGUCAUGUCUAUGCUCUCUUUCAUGUGUACAGCUCAUGCUUUGGUCCAAUAUGUCAAACAACAUUUUACAUGUGUUUUGAUUAAGUUCAUUAGGAUGUUGAUUAUUCUUUUUAUUUUAGCAGUUGUUAUGUUUAAAUUUUAGUAAUAGAAGAUUGGUUACUUGUUUUAAGUAGUAAAUACAUACAACUAAAUAAUUUUUUAAGUUUAUCUCCAAGUCAAUAUAUGACAAAUCUCAUUUGAUUUCCAAGUUAGCUUAUCCAUGACCUUUUUUGCCCUUUCCCUCCAAUUUUGCAUCUGUGUCCAAGUUUUCAAACCAUAUAUUUCGUGGUUUUGCUGGUGCAAGCUUAGGAAUUAUAGACCGAUGAUUUUAGUCCAGCCUAAUUUUAAAUGAAACUGGCUGAGCCUAAUGAAAAGCUGCAAGAGCUUGAGAGUGCAAAGGAAAAUCCUAAAGGGUCCAGCUUGAGUCAGUUUGAACUCGUCUCAAGAUUUAUGCCUGAGCUGAGCCAGGUUAAGCUUUUUUUUUAAUAGUCUUUUAGAGUUUGUUUUAGACUUGCGCAUGACUUUUUCUUUGUAUAAAAUAUUUAUAGCAGGAUGACAGAGUCAUUAUGAGCUGUUACAACUUAUCCUAUGUUGAUGUAUUCGAAAUUUUACCAUGCAGCAUUAACGACUUGAAUGGCAGGUUUGCUUGGAUGCCUUGAGAAUAUGUUGGUCAAAAGUUGUAUAUUCCCAUGCACCAUGAUGCUGGCUGGUUAGUCUGAUGAUUUUAGUUAGUCAUCUUGAAUCCGGUUUGGCAUAGACUUAAUAUGGGACGGAAUCUAAGCUAACUGGCUGACGCGUAUACCUUCGACGACAUUGCCCAAACCAGUGUCUCUAUUGUGUCUUUGUUAGCCCUCCUUCCAAACAAGUAUUGUCUUUAAGCAUUCCAGUUAUGCCAGCUGGUAGGGCUUGAUUACAUAGAAAACCGUCUUUAUUGCCUUCCACUCUUUCCUAAUUGGUUAUGUUGAAGUGUCAGGUUAUCCAUGUAGCAAGUUGAACUAUUUGUAGGUCAUUCAGCGAAACAAGCUAAAGUUUGAGGUGGAAUCUUUAGACUCCUUGGCAGCUGCUUUUUCUAGCCACCAGUGGCUUUCUUUCCUUGAAAGUUUCCUUGCACCAUCUCUGCUUGCAACUAUUUAACUCAAAUCUGGUAGCGUUUAAGGUUUCAUGCUGGCUAUUACGUAAAUUAGACCGUCCAGUGUGUCUAGGAAAUGCAAUAAUGUGCUCUACACUGCAACAUUGAGAAACUUCGUAGUGUAUGUCUGUCUCUCUCUCUCUCUCUCUCUCUCGCUCUGUUUGUUUAUAGGGUAAGUUGAAGAUGGGGGAGAAGAUCAUCCAUUUUCGCUUGUGCCCUUCUCUGUCAAUUAGUUGCUGUAUCGGGCUUGAUUCUCCAAGUGCAACAGGACGUGCUUGGUUGGAUGGAGAAAUCAACAUCUCAAGUUACAUAUCUACUUAUGCAGGCAUUAUUGAUUAUAACUUGUAAAUAUUUGCUUUACUUUGCAGUUACCACCAAUGGCGAGACGUGAACCACCAAGAUCCUGGGCUGGGAGGCUACAAAUUAAGCCUUGAUCCGGUAAAAGCAUCUCUACUUCCAAUAAAUACGGUAGUUGGCUGAUGUAACUUGGGCUAUUUCAUGUAGGGCUUAGGUUUGCAUGUUCGUAUUGUUGGUUCAUGACAGGAAAGAAAAACUAGGCUAUUUAGAUUGUGUUGGGAACGAUGGCAGCUGUACUCCUUGUCUUUCGUCAUGGUCUCUUUGUUGUUGAUAUCGGGCAAAGGCUUGAUCUUUGUACGUUUUGCUGCGUGAAAAGUGAUGUAAUUAAAUGCUUGGCUACCAUGGUACGUUUCUUAGUGAAAUCACCAAGGAGUUCUGAUUCCCACCUUGAUCUUUAACAUUUGGCUGUCACGCCAAUUCAUUUACGCCCUUCUUCACGUUAUGCGAGGAUGUAAAACCAAUCCAAAGCUGGCCGCGUAUAGAAAAAUUUGCUACAGGAAGGUGUAAUUGUGGCAGCCCUCAGGAGAACCGGUUGCAAAAACCUACCUUCGGCGGCUGUAUCUGUUGGCGAAACCACCCGACUGCCUAUCUCCUUAUUCUGUUCAAACAGCGGCACGAUCUUUCGGUCUUAGAACGUCGACCGUAGUCUUAUUGCGCCCGUCGUACUUGUAAGCCACUACCCAGCGAUUCCAAUUUUUUUUUUUUUAAAGGGCUGCAGCAUAAGCCUCCUCUCCCUCCCUCACUCUCUCUCCUUUAUGAAGAUCUCUCAGAAAUUGCAAAGUUUCUCUCUCUAAAAUCCUUUAGAGAGAGAAGCCAGUUUAGUUAUGGUAUAUGUAUGUAUAUAUAUGUUUUGCUUUUAUUAAAUGUUUUUGUUAAAUAGAGGAGUGUUAUUACAAAAAAGAAAGAAAGGAGAAGGAACAAAGAGUGAAACAAUUUUGGCACGGUGAUUUUUUUUCGGUCAAAAUGAAUAUAAGAAUGUCGAACAAGAAGAGCAUUAAUAUAUGUUCAAAUCCACCAUAUUGCUGCAAAUUUAUACUGCAGGUAUCGGCAACAUCGAAGCGGUAAUACCCCCUCCCCCACCAAAUAUAAGAAGCACCGGCGCAGAUAUACGGCAAAGCUCUUCGGCUAGUGGGGUAAGAUGCUUGCAUGGCGAUGGCGCAAAGCCUUUCCAUCCUGAUGUAUCCUCUCUUCAUAGUCCUUGACCUUGGCUGCAUGGGAACGCAAUUUGAUCUCGUUGUUGCAUGUGCCAUCGGUCCCUUCUCGAGGGUAACUGGCUUCAGUCGUGAGGCCUCCAUUCUUGAUGAUAAAUUUAAAGGCAUCGUCCAUCUCGCCCCCGUUGCAACGUCAUAGCCCACGAGCUCUUCUUCUGAUAACGAAAUAAGCUUAUAUACCGGUGCUGAUUUUGGCGACUCCUUCCAUUGCAGCCACCGCAGAGAAUGCGCAGCAGGACCCUAUUUGAUGCAUUGAAUCACAUGUCAAGUUUGCUCUCAAAACAAAAGAAAGAAUUCAGGGAUGCAGUGACUUUGUGUCAGCCCAAAUAGAAUAGCCUUACGGCAACCGAUAGGGGUAGUGCAAUGUGCGUAGGAGUUAAAGGUGGACUGCGCUAAUUUACUUCCCACAUUGGCCUUGAUCCUUGAUGGGAGCGAACUGCACCCAUGGUCCUCCAGUCCAUCCUGACAGGAACCGCGGUUACUUUCUCACACAUGAAGCUCUUCACUGCCUUCCUCGAGCUUGCUUGGGAUGGCCUAAAUCCAGUGUACAUGGCCUUGAACUCCUCAUUGGCGAGGUCUGUAAACUGGUUGAUGCGUAUCUUGUACUUGUGGCUCCCAGCAUUGAAUGAUUCAACCCAGACAUCCACUGCUCGUGCUUCUCCCUCAUCGAUGUGUCGACAAGUGUACGAGAUGCUGCAUGAGAAGCCCAAAUGGUAAUCUGCAACUGGGCAGACCAUAUGUAAUUGUUUAUUGAGAAAGCCACAGAGCUAAAUGUUGCGUGGAUGGUGCAAUGGGGAUAUCAUUAAAAAUACUAAGUUUUACACACAACUCUGGGUUGGGUUUGGCUUAUACAGAGGAGCAGGAGGAGGAGGAGGAGGCGGAGGAUCUACUGAGCCUUCCCCAAAAUUGAGGUGACAGAGAUCAAGCCUAUCAUUUUCUUUUUAUCUUUAUCUAAUUGUUGGAGCUUACCUUCAGCUAGUUGAAGAUGCUUGUUGGAGUUUAUCUUCAUCUAGUUGAAGAAGCCUAUCUUUUAAUUAGAUGCUUAUUCUUUGGUUGAUCUUAUCACUUGUGAAGCAAAUGCUAUGCUUGGGAAGUUUAGAGUUUGCGCCUAGCGUUUGCUUUGAGCUACUACAACAAAAGUGGCUUAGACUCGUGGGACUUUCUGCGAUGCUGCUUGUGUUGGGGCCAUUAAGUUCGAAUUAGUGAGCCAGUUACAGAGUUUGGUGUAAAAUUAGCAGCCGUACUAAAAUUUGUAAGGCCUCCGUAUUUAAUGCAGGAAGAAACUCUGAGAAGUCCACAACGACAAGAACAACGACUAGGAAUCCCUAGAUCCAAAGCCAAUGAGCAAGCUAAGCUGCGAUUUAUGCUGAUAUGAAUAGGAAGAUCAGAAUGAAGACUGUUGCCCAACUUAUAUACUACAUCGACAAUUAUAUAUAUAUAUAUAUGUAUCCAGACUUCCAUUUUGAGGCCCAAAGGCACGUUUUUACCUUGCUGUAAUUUUGAACACCGUAGGUGUCAGCAAGAUUGAAGCCAUGCACAUAGACAAGCAUAAGAAGCACACAUAUACAUAUCCAUCAUAAGGUGUUACAUCCACCCCCUUAAGCAGUUGGGUAAGAAGCUUCCAUGGCAAUGCCGCAGAGCCCCUCCUUGGCAUCCACGUCCCUCUCCAUCCUGAUGUAUCCAUUCUCGCCCCAAGAUGAACCCCACGAGUUCUUCACCAGCCAAUACUUAGUCCCAUCACUCGUCUUGUCGUAACCAACAGCAGUGACACCAUGAUCCAAUUCGGUCCCACAGUCCCCCGUGAACACGCCGCUCGAGUACAACUGGAAAGCAGAGCCGCCGGCAUCGAUGGCGACCGACACCGGCUGGUUCGCCACCGCCUUCAGGAGCGCCGCCUCGCUGUUGGCCGGCACGUCCUCGUAGCCGCCGAUGGUGGCCGCAUGGGAAUGCGAUUUCCCGGCGUUGCACGUGCCGUCAGCGGCCUCGUAGGGGUAAUUGGCUUCGGUCGUGAGGCCUCCAUUCUUGAUGAUGAAUUUGAAAGCAUCGUCCAUGAGACCCCCACCGCAUCCUUGAUCCUCGCCUUUGGUGUCGCAGUCGACGAGCUCUUGCUCCGAUAGAGAGAUGAGCUUCCCGGUGCUGAGUUUGGUGAUUCCCUCCAUCGCGGCCACAGCAGAGAAGGCCCAGCAGCAUCCUGGCCGGUGCAUGCAUCGGAUGUUGGAUUAUUGUUUGUAAACCAAAUGGAAGACCGGCAGUAAGCAUGCAUUUUGUAACAGUUGAAAUGAAUUGGGUACUUACCGCAUUGGCCUUGGUCCUUGAUGGGAGUAACUGCACCCUUGGCCCUCCAGUCCAUGCUGACGGGCACUGCGGUGGCGUUCUCAUACUUGAAGCUCUUCGUCGCCAUCCCCGAGCUCGCCUNNNNNNNNNNNNNNNNNNNGGUGUGCACGGCCCUGAACUCUUCAUUGGUGAGGUCCGCAAACUGAUUGGCCCCGAGCUUGAACUUAUGGUUCCCAGCGUUGAAUGAUUCGAUCAAUUCGACGUUGGCUUGGAAAAUUUUGAAGCGGCGCUCCUUCUCGGCCGCGUCUUUGUACACGCGCCCGUACAGAGCCAUCCAUUGCUCGUGCUUCUCCUUCAUCGAUACGUCGGUGAGCGUGCGGGAUGAUGCCGCGUGAGAAGCCCAGAGGGCGAUCACUGCCAAGGCUGCCAACAGGCAUUUGUUUCUUGGGAAAGCCAUGGAGCUAAAGGUGGAGAAUGUGAGAGCUUGGUCCACUGAUCAGCCCGCACUGGAUAUUGGGCCUGUGGGCCGACCGGAAGAGGCCAACCCAGCUCCGAUGAAUCGGGAGAGGAACUCUAAUUGGGAGUCUCCCUCCUCUCCAUUUUCGAUCGCGAUCGCAAUCGGAAGGGAUGAAUCCCAAACCCAAUCAAACAC